rnacentral:rRNA from 1 species
CCGGCACGGGUGGAGUAACACGUAUCCAACCUGCCGUCUACUCUUGGACAGCCUCUGAAAGGAAGAUUAAUACAAGAUGGCAUCAUGAGUCCGCAUGUUCACAUGAUUAAAGGUGUUCCGGUAGACGAUGGGGAUGCGUUCCAUUAGAUAGUAGGCGGGGUAACGGCCCACCUAGUCUUCGAUGGAUAGGGGUUCUGAGAGGAAGGUCCCCCACAUUGGAACUGAGACACGGUCCAA